AUAUAUCUAGGCAAAUUGCCUAGAAGUGAAUCCCCUCUCCUGCUUAAGUCCUUCCCACAGAGAGCGGUUUGAUAUGUCACUGAAACCAGCAUCCAGGUGGUAUUGCUCCAUAUGCCUGAGACCCUAACAAAAGCCUAAUUACAACUCAUAUGCCUGGAGCCAGGACAUGUGCAGGAUGGUGAUGUAACUUUCCUCUCUGGAAUGGGUCCUGCACAAAGGAAUGAUAGUAACAUAUUGCAAAGCCAGACACACAGCCAUGAUGGUCCAAGUUAUAUUGGGAUUCAGCCAAUAGAAGAUAUUUUGCCUGUCAUCCCUAAGCUUAGGACAAUAGGGUCCUGCCCACAAGAAAGAUUGUGACAUCUCACUGGACAAGCACCCACCCAGACUCUGCCAAGAGAGGGGAUUAUUACAUAUUGCAGAGCCCAGCACCUAGGUGGAGUGACUCUCAUCUUUUUCUUCUACCCCGUAUAUAGCCAGCUUGGUGACCUACUAUUUGAGUCUAUACCCAGGCCCAGACCACAGAUGAAAUUGUGCAAUAUGUGGAACAAACACCUAAACAAUAUAUAACACCUUCCUUGGCUCUGUCUACAAAGGGCACUUUUAUAUAUCACUGGGACCAUCAACCAGGUGAUAUAACCCUCUUCUCUGGAAUGGGCCCCACACAAAGGAAGGAUAGUGACAUAUUGCAAGCCCAGGCACACAGGCCCAGAGCACAGUUGAAAUUGUGACAUAUGUACACCAAGCAACCAAGCAAUGUAUAACACCUCAUUUGGCAAUGGAAUCGAGGGCACUUUUACAUAUCACUGAGACCAGCGCCCAGCUGAUGUGAAAUAUUGGCCUGAACCCUGCCUACAAAAGCAUUGUGGCUUUUAUCUAGCUCCAUUACAUAAGUGAUGUGACUUCCUUCUACUGCCUUGGCCCUGCACUUAUGGUGAAUCGUGACACAAAAUUGGGUAGAGCAACCAGCCUGGGCCCUGACCAGCACAGAGAUUGAGGCAUAUUGCUGAACCCAGGACCAAGAUGAAGUCACUCUCCUGCCUUGAUCCUGCACACAGGGACCCUUGUGACAUAUAUACAGGCCAAUUGCCUAGGUGAUGUUGUGCAAUAUACCUGAGACCAGAUCAAUGGCCUAAUAAUGACUCUUUUACCUAGAGCCAGGACAUGUGCAGGAUGGUAACUCUCAUCCCUGAACCUUUCCACAGGUGUUAUUGUCACAUAUACCUUUUCCAGCUCCAAAGUGAUUUAAUAAUCCAGCCUAGUUAUAGCCCACAGAUAAUAUUUGGACAUAUACCUGAGUCAAGAA
rnacentral:lncRNA from 1 species